rnacentral:rRNA from 1 species
UACGUAGGGUGCGAGCGUUAAUCGGAAUACUGGGCGUAAAGCGUGCGCAGGCGGUUCGUUAAGUCAGCUGUGAAAGCCCCGGGCUUAACCUGGGAACUGCAUUUGUGACUGCAUGGCUGGAGUGCGGCAGAGGGGGAUGGAAUUCCGCGUGUAGCAGUGAAAUGCGUAGAUAUGCGGAGGAACACCGAUGGCGAAGGCAAUCCCCUGGGCCUGCACUGACGCUCAUGCACGA